rnacentral:rRNA from 1 species
AGUGAACGCUGGCGGCGUGCCUAAUACAUGCAAGUCGAACGGAGUGGCGCACGGGUGCGUAAUGUAUAGCUAAUCUGCCCUACACUAGAGGACAACAGUUGGACACGACUGCUAUACUCUAUAGUGUAGGAUGAGGCUAUAUUGUAUCAGCUAGUUGGUGAGGUAAUGGCUCACCAAGGCUAUGACGCAUAACUGGUCUGAGAGGAUGAUCAGUCACACUGGAACUGAGACACAGUCCAGACUCCUUCGGGAGGCAGCAGUAGGGUAUAUUGCUCAAUGGGAGAAUACCUGAAGCAGCAACGGCGAGUAGAGGAUGACACUUUUCGGAGCGUAAACUCCUUUUGUUAGGGAAGCGGUACCUAACGAAUAAGCACCGGCUAACUCCGUGCCAGCAGCCGCGGUAAUAC